rnacentral:misc_RNA from 1 species
UUUAAAUUAGUGUGCUGGCGUAAGGGUGUUGUCCAUUGAAGGAAGAAGACGAGAGAGAAGAGAAACGUCGAAGCACUUUCGAGGCUCCAAACUCUGGGAUCUCUUCUGGUGAAGGCCAUAUUGAACCUACCCUUUUGUCUUUCUCUGCUUAAGAAAGCAAAAAAUCGCAACACCCACCCACCCACCUAUCGUCCAAACUUUUGCAGCUGUAGGACCAAACUAAAACCACCCAUUUUUCUAAACUCGAUCUGCUUUCUUUCAAUGUGGUCAUUCAGAUUCUUUUUCUUCGCUAUUCCAUGAAAAUGUAGGACCCAGAAUAGUUUCCCAUGUGUAAAUAGAUAUUGACUCUCAGAGCCUUUUUUGAGAGCGAGAGAGCAAGAGGGAUUUCUGUGUACCUGGAUCGACUUUGAUAGGCUGAGAAAACGCUGGGUUUUGGCGUUUUCUCUACUCGGGCGGUGAUAAAGGAAAAAUAAAAUGGUCGGUGUUCUUUUUUAAGGCAGAGAUUUUAUAUUCUGGAAUCAAAUAUAGGAGACAUUUUAGAUAUAACCUUGUUCUUCAACAUUUGUCAUUUUUGUCGUUGUGCCUGUUUAGAUAGCUUGAAAAUGUGAAGUACCCAUCUUUCAGAAUUGUCUUGUGGAUGGUACUGUUGAAGUGGGAAAGAAAAAAGGAUCAUAAUUAGUCUAUGUAUGAGUUUCGGAUGUAAUUGCACUUUUUAUAACAUGGGUUUUUGUUUCUCAUUUGUGGUUGGUCUGAGAGAAAUUUUAGGUUUUAAGAUUAGAAACAAAGGGUUUUGUGGUGUAUGAGUAGGAUUGGUAAUAUGGUAGAGAAUACCAAAGAAGUGCGUUCAUUGGCCUUAACUCCAACAUGGUCAGUUGCAACUGUGUUGACAAUCUUUGUGGUUGUUUCUUUGAUUGUGGAGCGCUCAAUUCACCGGCUAAGCAACUGGCUGCGGAAAACAAAUCGGAAACCUUUGCUUGCAGCUGUAGAGAAAAUGAAAGAAGAGUUGAUGCUGCUUGGAUUCAUUUCACUCCUUCUAACAGCUACAUCAAGCACAAUAGCCAAUUUUUGCAUUCCAUCAAAGUUCUAUAGCAGUAAUUUUGCUCCUUGCUCUAGGACUGAGAUUGAUGAAGAACCGGAAGAAAACACUUACCAGGGACGUAAAUUACUGUUGCUUUCUGCUUUUCCUCUCUCAGUCCGGAGAAUGCUGAAUAGGUUGGAUCAUAAUACCUGCAAAGAGGGACAUGAGCCAUUUGUAUCAUAUGAAGGUCUUGAACAGUUGCAUCGCUUCAUCUUUGUCAUGGCAGUCACACAUAUAUCUUACAGUUGCUUAACAAUGUUGCUGGCUAUUGUGAAGAUUCAUAGUUGGAGGAUAUGGGAAGAAGAGGCUCAUAUGGAUCGCCAUGAUAUGUUAUCAGACAUCAUGAGAGAGCAGACUUUGCGAAGGCAGACAAACUUUGUCAGAUAUCAUGCAUCAAAUCCUUUGGCCAGGAAUAGUUUUCUAAUAUGGGUGACUUGUUUCUUCCGACAAUUUGGGCAUUCAGUGGUUCGCACGGACUACCUUACUCUUCGCAAGGGCUUUAUCACGAAUCACAAUCUCUCCUUGAAAUAUGAUUUUCACAGCUACAUGAUUCGCUCUAUGGAAGAAGAAUUCCAAAGGAUAGUUGGUGUGAGUGGUCCAUUGUGGGGAUUUGUUGUUGCUUUCAUGCUGUUUAAUGUAAAAGGGUCUAAUCUCUAUUUCUGGAUGGCCAUCAUUCCUAUCACCCUUGUCCUUUUGGUGGGUACAAAACUACAGCAUGUUAUUGCAACUUUGUCAUUGGAGAGUGCUGGCAUAACUGGAUACUUUGCCGGAACAAAGCUAAAGCCUCGAGAUGACCUUUUUUGGUUCAAGAAGCCAGAACUGUUACUGACCUUGAUCCAUUUUAUUCUGUUCCAGAACGCAUUUGAGUUGGCUUCAUUCUUUUGGUUCUGGGUACCACCCUCUUCCUUGACUGGAUUAGUAUUCUGUUUACUGCUGGAGAUGUCCGUUCCUAAUCAGUGACAUCAAACUCAAAUUUACAUACCUUGCAUUUUUUACCCAUGGGCUAUUGUUGCUUCAAUUUUACUAAUCUGUCUGAGAAAUGUGAACACCCAUAUGAGAUGCAAAAACCACAGGAAAAGAUAGAGAUUUUUUUGUUUGCCGUAUGCUGGAUCUAGUCACUUUAACUAACAUAUCUUUUGUUGAUUAAUAUACAGUGGCAAUUUGGUUACAAUUCCUGCUUUAUUAGGAAUCACUUGCUGGUGUACAUACGACUUAUUUUGGGUUUUGCUGGACAAUUUCUCUGCAGCUACAGCACCUUGCCUCUUUAUGCGUUGGUUACUCAGGUUCAUAUUCAUAGAAAAAUAUACAUUGAGAAAAUAAUGUACAAAAUAUAUGAGUUACUUCUGUACGUAUUUGAGUUACGGAAUUUUGCCCACAAGCCAUCACACCUUGUAAUUGCGUGUAGCUGCAACUACAAGGCAAAGGCUUUUGUAACAGUCAAAGGCAUUAGGCCUACAUGUGUGUGCCUCUAAUCAUGGGUUUUGAACCCAGACAUGGGCUGGCGAAGAUAUUUAAGCAAGGGGAGAGCUAGUAUCCCUACCACUUGAUUCAAAACAAUAGAUAGGAUCUUGCAACACAUGCAGUUGGUGAUAAUUUAAAUGUAUUACCCACUGUUGUUUUUAGAUUGCCAAUGUAAAUGCUUUGGUAUAUCAGACUGGGACAUGUGGAAGUAUUCUCAUGCCUUCUCUGAUAUGCAUGAUGACUAGUUGAUGGAUAUAGAACAAUGAAAUUGAUGAAAAAAACUCAUAAGAGUUGUGGAAGGUCUUUUUUUUUUUUCAAGCUUAAAAUAUUCUUAAAAUUGAUAAAUUUUGAUGCACAUCUUUUAUUGGCUGCCAAGUAUUGAUGUCCUAGUCUCCAUGGCUCUUAGCUUUUUCUUUGUGGAUGAUGUAAUUCUCUUUUUAUCUGGAUUGAUGAUGACUGAAUAUAUUUUGAAAAAUCAUAUAAAUUCAAUAUUUGUGGAUAUGAAUAUUGCAAGAGACGAUUCUCAACUAUUUCUAGACUUGGCAAAAGAUUGAGCCUUUUAAUUAAUUUAGGGUCCAUGAACUAUGUUAUGUUCUUAUCAGUUGGAUGGUUAUCUUGAUGAAAAAGUAGAUACUAUCUUUUGAAUAGGAACUUUCAUAGGCAUAGUCAUUCAGCAAACUUUAUACUUGGGAAUACAAGAAUAAGCCGCAAAGUUAAGUGGCCCUUUGUCCAUGAACCAGGGUUUUGGACUUUCAGUGCAAACUUUAAAUAUUAAACAUGAGAAUAAGUUGAAAAGUUGAGUGCCCUAAAUUGCCUCCAAUUUGAGAGGUUGGAGGAAUCACACCAUGAUUAUCUGCUCUGGAGGUCUCUGCCCUCCUUUUAUGGAUUAAUGGCUGCAAUUCUGCAAACAUGGCUUUAACAGGCUUUCAGAAUUGAAGGUUGUGGUAUUUUAUCACAUUCUGAUUCAAAAUAUGAGUACUAAUUUCCCCCUGCAUUAUUAUUGUUAUUAUAAUUAUUGCUAGAAUCAUGUAUGCUUUCCCUUUUUGUC